AGCGAACGUUUGCGGCGGGCUUAACACAUGCAAGUCGAACGAGAAUCCCUUCGGGGAGGAAAGUGGCGCACGGGUGCGUAACACGUGGAUAACCAACCCAUUGGUUUGGGACAACACCGGGAAACUGGUGCUAAUACCAGAUGUGUCGCAGCUGUCUUCAGGCGGUUGCGAGAAAGGCCCGUAAGGGUCGCCAACGGACGGGUCCGCGUCCCAUCAGCUAGUUGGUGAGGUAAUGGCUCACCAAGGCAAAGACGGGUAGCUGGUCUGAGAGGAUGAUCAGCCACACUGGAACUGAGACACGGUCCAGACUCCUACGGGAGGCAGCAGUGGGGAAUAUUGCGCAAUGGGCGAAAGCCUGACGCAGCCACGCCGCGUGAGCGAUGAAGGUCUUCGGAUCGUAAAGCUCUGUGGGGGGAGAAGAAGAAAGCCGGUGAAGAGCCGGCCCUGACGGUAUCCCCUUAGCAAGCACCGGCUAACUCCGUGCCAGCAGCCGCGGUAAUGUA
rnacentral:rRNA from 1 species